UACGGGGGGAGCAAGCGUUGUUCGGAUUUACUGGGCGUAAAGGGCGCGUAGGCGGUCGUGACAAGUCACUUGUGAAAUCUCCGGGCUUAACUCGGAACGGUCAAGUGAUACUGUCGGACUAGAGUACAGAAGGGGCAACUGGAAUUCUCGGUGUAGCGGUGAAAUGCGUAGAUAUCUGGAGGAACACCGGUGGCCGAAGGCGGCAUCCUGGACCGGUAU
rnacentral:rRNA from 1 species